AGAGACAAAAACAGCUGCUACUGACAGAUUCUUUUCACUUCUACAGAAGAUAGAAGCCAUGCAGCUCUUCGUUGUAGAACACAGACUCAAUAUAUGAAGUCCAGGACAUUUCAAUGUCUUCAGGAUGAUGUUUGUUGAAUAUUAUUUCUAGUGUUUAGCUCAGACCUGAGACCAUUUACUUGUUAGCAAAAGUAUAAUUUUCACAUAAAUUACUAAGGAAUUCGAUAAAUUCCACAAAUAAUAAGGCGUCAAAAAUGUCAUAGUAUAGGAAAGCAUAAAACAUCAUAAUAUGGUUAAGUGACAAAAAUGUACAAAAACGUCAUAGUAUCGUAUGGUAUAAAAAUGUCAAAGUAUAGAAAGGCAUCAAAAAUGUCAUAGUUUAGUAAGGUAUGAAAAAAACCAUAAUAUAGUUAAAUGUCCAAAAAUGUCAUAGUAUCGUAUGGUAUAAAAACGCCAAAAAACGUAAUAGUAUAGUAAGGCGUCAAAAAUGUCCAAAAAUGUCAUAGUGUAGUAAAGUGUCAAAAAUGUCCAAAAACGUAAUAGUAUUGUAAGGCAUACAAAUGUCAUAGUAUAGUAAGGCAUAAAACGUCAAAAAUCAUCAUAAUAUAGUUAAGUGUCAAAAAUGUCCAAAAACGUCAUAGUAUCGUAUGGUAUAAAAACGCCAAAAAACGUAAUAGUAUAGUAAGGCGUCAAAAAUGUCCAAAAAUGUCAUAGUAUAGUAAGGCGUCAAAAAUGUCCAAAAAUGUCAUAGUAUAGCAAAGUGUCAAAAAUGUCCAGAAACGUCAUAGUAUUGUAAGGCAUACAAAUGUCAUAGUAUAGUAAGGCAUAAAGCGUCAAAAAACAUCAUAAUAUAGUUAAGUGUCAAAAAUGUCCAAAAAUGUCAUAGUAUAGUAAGGCAUCAAAAAUGUCCAAAAAUGUCAAAGUAUAGUUAGGCAUACAAAUGUUAUAGUAUAGUAU